rnacentral:rRNA from 1 species
GGAUUUGGGAUGUCUAAGCAUGCGAGUCAUUGUAGCAAUACAAGGCAGACGGCUCAGUAACGCGUAGUCAAUCUACCCUAUGACGGGAAUAACCUCGGGAAACUGAGAAUAAUGCCCGAUAGAACAUUAUACCUGGAACGGUUUAUGUUUCAAAUGAUUUAUCGCCGUAGGAUGGAACUGCGGCCUAUCAGUUUGUUGGUGAGGUAAUGGCCCACCAAGACUAUUACAGGUACGGGCUCUGAGAGGAGUAGCCCGGAGAUGGGUACUGAGACACGGACCCAGGCCCUAUGGGGCGCAGCAGGCGAGAAAACUUUGCAAUGUGCGAAAGCACGACAAGGUUAAUCCGAGUGGUUUCUGCUAAAGAAACCUUUUGCUAGUCCUAGAAACACUAGUGAAUAAGGGGUGGGCAAGUUCUGGUGUCAGCCGCCGCGGUAAAACCAGCACCUCAAGUGGUCAGGAUGAUUAUUGGGCCUAAAGCAUCCGUAGCCGGCCCUGUAAGUUUUCGGUUAAAUCUGUACGCUUAACGUACAGGCUGCCGGGAAUACUGCAUAGCUAGGGAGUGGGAGAGGUAGACGGUACUCGGUAGGAAGGGGUAAAAUCCUUUGAUCUAUUGAUGACCACCUGUGGCGAAGGCGGUCUACCAGAACACGUCCGACGGUGAGGGAUGAAAGCUGGGGGAGCAAACCGGAUUAGAUACCCGGGUAGUCCCAGCUGUAAACUAUGCAAACUCAGUGAUGCAUUGGCUUGUGGCCAAUGCAGUGCUGCAGGGAAGCCGUUAAGUUUGCCGCCUGGGAAGUACGUACGCAAGUAUGAAACUUAAAGGAAUUGGCGGGGGAGCACCACAAGGCGUGAAGCUUGCGGUUCAAUUGGAUUCAACGCCGGG